rnacentral:rRNA from 1 species
UACGGAGGGUGCAAGCGUUAUCCGGAUUUACUGGGUUUAAAGGGUGCGUAGGCGGGCCAUUAAGUCAGUGGUGAAAGCUCCGAGCUUAACUCGGAAACUGCCAUUGAUACUAUUGGUCUUGAAUUCGGUCGAGGUUGGCGGAAUGUGUCGUGUAGCGGUGAAAUGCUUAGAUAUGACACAGAACACCGAUUGCGAAGGCAGCUAGCUAGACCGACAUUGACGCUGAGGCACGAAAGCGUGGGGAGCAAACAGG